GCCCAGCUAGCUCAGUCGGUAGAGCAUGAGACUCUUAAUCUCAGGGUCGUGGGUUCGCACCCCACAUUGGGCA
rfam:Neotoma lepida isolate 417 scaffold_4777, whole genome shotgun sequence.